AACAUGAUACAAUUUUCUGGUGUUCACCGGCAACGAACGGGUCUUUGCUGGUUGGAUCUAAUCCUUCGUCUUUCCUUCCCCGAAUCCUCUGUCUUUCCUCUCCCCCGACGGCCAACGCCGGACGCCUACCUUCCGUUUCUCUCACCUCUCCCCGGCGGCACCUCCUCCCCACUGUCCCCUGAACUCCCCCUCAAAACCCAGCCUGACGACCAACAGUAGCCUCAUCUCCAACCUUUAUCGAGCUUGAUUUGUGUCCACCGUGAGAGAUCUCAGCCAGAUCUGAGUGGAUAAGUGAGAGAGAGGAGGAAGAAAAAGGGGGAGUGGGGAGAUAGAGAGAACGGGCGAGGCGGCGUGUGUGGCGGAGCAGGUUCCAGCAGGCCGGAGCAGGGCGUGGCGGUGACGGUGGUGGUGGUGGAGCAGGCCUGUCUUGAUUCGUCCAGAUCCACGUGGCUGAGUACGACGGCGCUGCAUCGACGGCGCCGGCGAGGAAACUGCUACACACGCCGUAUGUGAUCAGGAGGAGGGCGAUGGUUCUAUCUUCUCAUAAUCAUACAACCAGCCAUGAAUUGUUUUCAUGAAGCACCAUGGCUCGUGGGUGUCGGGAGGAUUUCAGGCGAUGGCCUGGUGUUGUGAUAUGGAGCCACGAAGGAUAGAGAGUUAUGACUUUUUGACAGCAAAGCUGCAAAGGCAUGAAGAGUUAAUCUGCUGGGAGAUAGAAGAACAACAAGCUGCAUGGCCAAUGAUGCCUACACGUCAAAGCUCCAUUCAUGUGGCGUUUCUGUCAUUGACAUGAGCGGCGGAGAAGGCAUUGCAGCGUGGCGUCAUGGCCUUUGGGAAGGAGCUCUACUGUCCGCGCAUGGCUGCUGCCACGCCAAUAGCGACAAAGGUUAGGAACAAGUUUCAUGUCAGCUUGAAGCCUUUGUUUCCAUGGAUCCUUGGGAAUGUUGGUGAUCGAUGCCCUGCCGACGAUGACAGCGUGAAAAGGCAACCGAGUUGGUUGAGACAAAGGAUCUUGUCAAUGGCUGUACGAAGGUGAUCGAGUUGUGGUUUCGACGAGGAUCUCGUCAAUGGCUGUAAGGAGGUGAUCGAGUGUGAAAAAACUAAGGUUUCAACCAGAAUUUUCUUGGCUUGCAACAAAUAAAAUUGUUGAUUUACAAACUUGUAAAUUUGACUUGGUGAUGUUUUAGAUCGCUUGUAACUUUGACUUGCUGUUUUAAACCGUAUUGCGCGUGUGAUGCUUCAAAUUCAUGUUCCUAAA